AACGCGAAGAACCUUACCUGGGCUCGAAAUGUAGUGGACCGGGGUGGAAACAUCCCUUUUUCGCAAGAAACUGCUAUAUAGGUGCUGCAUGGCUGUCGUCAGCUCGUGUCGUGAGAUGUUGGGUUAAGUCCCGCAACGAGCGCAACCCUUAUCGUUAGUUGCCAGCGGGUUAUGCCGGGCACUCUAGCGAAACCGCCUCGGAUAACGGGGAGGAAGGUGGGGAUGACGUCAAGUCCUCAUGGCCUUUAUGUCCAGGGCUACACACGUGCUACAAUGGUCGGUACAAACUGUCGCAAACCCGCGAGGGGGAGCUAAUCGGAAAAAGCCGGCCUCAGUUCGGAUUGGAGUCUGCAAUUCGACUCCAUGAAGCUGGAAUCGCUAGUAAUCGCGGAUCAGAACGCCGCGGUGAAUACGUUCCCGGGCCUUGUACACACCGGAGUA
rnacentral:rRNA from 1 species